rnacentral:rRNA from 1 species
GAUGAACGCUGGCGGCGUGCCUAAUACAUGCAAGUCGAGCGAACGGACGAGAAGCUUGCUUCUCUGAUGUUAGCGGCGGACGGGUGAGUAACACGUGGAUAACCUACCUAUAAGACUGGGAUAACUUCGGGAAACCGGAGCUAAUACCGGAUGAUAUUUUGAACCGCAUGAUUCAAAAGUGAAAGACGGUCUUGCUGUCACUUAUAGAUGGAUCCGCGCUGCAUUAGCUAGUUGGUAAGGUAACGGCUUACCAAGGCAACGAUGCAUAGCCGACCUGAGAGGGUGAUCGGCCACACUGGAACUGAGACACGGUCCAGACUCCUACGGGAGGCAGCAGUAGGGAAUCUUCCGCAAUGGGCGAAAGCCUGACGGAGCAACGCCGCGUGAGUGAUGAAGGUCUUCGGAUCGUAAAACUCUGUUAUUAGGGAAGAACAUAUGUGUAAGUAACUGUGCACAUCUUGACGGUACCUAAUCAGAAAGCCACGGCUAACUACGUG